rnacentral:rRNA from 1 species
AACGUAGGUUCCGAGCGUUAUCCGGAUUUACUGGGCGUAAAGCGCGUUCAGGCGGUUUGGCAAGUCGGGCAUGAAAUCUCUCGGCUCAACCGGGAGAGGUUGUCCGAUACUGCUGGACUUGAGGGCAGUAGAGGGUGGUGGAAUUCCGGGUGUAGUGGUGAAAUGCGUAGAUAUCCGGAGGAACACCAGUGGCGAAAGCGGCCACCUGGACCGGUUCUGACGCUGAUGCGCGAAAGCGUGGGUAGCAAACAGG